AUUGAACGCUGGCGGCAGGCCUAACACAUGCAAGUCGAGCGGCAGCGGGGGGAAGCUUGCUUCCCCGCCGGCGAGCGGCGGACGGGUGAGUAAUGUCUGGGAAACUGCCUGAGGGAGGGGAUAACUACUGGAAACGGUAGCUAAUACCGCAUAACGUCUUCGGACCAAAGGGGGGGCUCUUCGGACCUCAUGCCAUCGGCUGUGCCCAGAUGGGAUUAGCUAGUAGGCGGGGUAAAGGCCCACCUAGGCGACGAUCCCUAGCUGGUCUGAGAGGAUGACCAGCCACACUGGAACUGAGACACGGUCCAGACUCCUACGGGAGGCAGCAGUGGGGAAUAUUGCACAAUGGGGGAAACCCUGAUGCAGCCAUGCCGCGUGUGUGAAGAAGGCCUUCGGGUUGUAAAGCACUUUCAGCGGGGAGGAAGGGGACAGGCUUAAUACGUCUGUUCAUUGACGUUACCCGCAGAAGAAGCACCGGCUAACUCCGUGCCAGCCGCCGCUGUAACAC
rnacentral:rRNA from 1 species